CCAAAAUUGAGGGGUGAUUCUUAGGACAUUGGAAAGAAGGGACGGAGGAGAUUCACCGGUGUUAAAUUUGGGGUGAUUUGGAGGAGGUUGCGUCAUGACAGGAAAAACUUCGAUCUAAUAUUCAAAAAGCUUUGGGGUGGGAUUCGAGGGAAGUGGGUGAUGGAUUCGGAUAGAGGAAGAGAAAAGGAGUAUAGGGUGUUAAUUUGGGGUAAUUUGGCGACGGGCCGCCGCCCAGGGCGAUUUCCGGCGGCGGUCUACGGUGGUGUUACAUAGA
rnacentral:lncRNA from 1 species